UACGUAGGGCGCGAGCGUUGUUCGGAUUCAUUGGGCGUAAAGGGUGCGUAGGUGGCGCCGUAAGUCAGGUGUGAAAUCUCGGGGCUCAACCCCGAAACUGCACUUGAUACUGCGGUGCUCGAGUACUGGAGAGGAGAUUGGAAUUUACGGUGUAGCAGUGAAAUGCGUAGAUAUCGUGAGGAAGACCAGUGGCGAAGGCGGGUCUCUGGACAGUUCCUGACGCUGAGGCACGAAGGUCAGGGGAGCAAACGGG
rnacentral:rRNA from 1 species